GACGAACGCUGGCGGCGUGCUUAACACAUGCAAGUCGAGCGGUAAGGCCCUUUCGGGGGUACACGAGCGGCGAACGGGUGAGUAACACGUGGGUGACCUGCCCUCAGCUCUGGGAUAAGCCUGGGAAACUGGGUCUAAUACUGGAUAUGACUCCACGGUGCAUGUCGUGGGGUGGAAAGCCUUGUGCGGCUGAGGAUGGGCCCGCGGCCUAUCAGCUUGUUGGUGGGGUGAUGGCCUACCAAGGCGACGACGGGUAGCCGGCCUGAGAGGCGACCGGCCACACUGGGACUGAGACACGGCCCAGACUCCGUACGGGAGGCAGCAGGU
rnacentral:rRNA from 1 species